CGCAGGUGGUUGAUUAAGUCUGAUGUGAAAGCCCACGGCUUAACCGUGGAGGGUCAUUGGAAACUGGUCGACUUGAGUGCAGAAGAGGGAAGUGGAAUUCCAUGUGUAGCGGUGAAAUGCGUAGAGAUAUGGAGGAACACCAGUGGCGAAGGCGGCUUCCUGGUCUGUAACUGACACUGAGGCGCGAAAGCGUGGGGAGCAAACA
rnacentral:rRNA from 1 species